GUUUCCGUAGUGUAGUGGUUAUCACGUGUGCCUAACACGCACAAGGUCCUGUGUUCGAGUCCCAGCGGAAACC
rnacentral:tRNA from 1 species